rnacentral:rRNA from 1 species
GAACGAGAAUCUACUGAAAGAGUUUUCGGACGAUGGAAGUAGAGGAAAGUGGCGGACGGGUGAGUAACGCGUGAGGAACCUGCCUUGAAGAGGGGGACAACAGUUGGAAACGACUGCUAAUACCGCAUGAAGCAUAGGGGUCGCAUGAUUCUUAUGCCAAAGAUUUAUCGCUUCAAGAUGGCCUCGCGUCUGAUUAGCUAGUUGGCGGGGUAACGGCCCACCAAGGCGACGAUCAGUAGCCGGACUGAGAGGUUGAACGGCCACAUUGGGACUGAGAUACGGCCCAGACUCCUACGGGAGGCAGCAGUGGGGAAUAUUGGGCAAUGGGCGCAAGCCUGACCC